rnacentral:rRNA from 1 species
GAUUAACGCUGGCGGCAUGCCUAAUGCAUGCAAGUAGAACGCCCCGCAAGGGGAGUGGCAGACGGGUGAGUAACGCGUGGGAACGUGCCCUUCGCUUCGGAAUAGCCCCGGGAAACUGGGAGUAAUACCGAAUACGCCGUAUUGGGAAAGAUUUAUCGGCGAAGGAUCGGCCCGCGUUAGAUUAGCUAGUUGGCGGUGUAAUGGACCACCAAGGCUACGAUCUAUAGCUGGUCUGAGAGGAUGAUCAGCCACACUGGGACUGAGACACGGCCCAGACUCCUACGGGAGGCAGCAGUGGGGAAUCUUGGACAAUGGGCGCAAGCCUGAUCCAGCCAUGCCGCGUGAGUGAAGAAGGCCUUAGGGUUGUAAAACUCUUUCGCCGGAGAAGAUAAUGACGGUAUCCGGAGAAGAAGCCCCGGCUAACUUCGUGCCAGCCGCCGCAGUAA